rnacentral:misc_RNA from 1 species
CAGAAAACUAAUUACAUACAGUUAGAUUACACCCACAGAUUUUUCUUUUUUUCAAUAUUUUUUUUUCCAAAUAGUGACAAAACGAAUUAAACACAUACCCGAGAAAAGAGUCUGUGAGGUUAGGUUCCUCUUCUCAUUUUUAUGCCAGAAUUUAUUUAUUUAUUUAGUUUGCUUAUCUGGGCUCUGACAAGCUGUUCCUCACCGAGAGGAGUCGAAUGAUAAUUCUUCAACCUAAAAGGUAACCACUAUCAAGCUUCCAUCUUUAUGUUCUCACAUUGAUCUCUGCUCAACAUUAUUGCAUCUUUUUGUUUCAAUGGAUAUCUCGUUUGCAACAUAGUCAGUUUUGGAUCUCACUGCGUAUUGGGGUUUUUGAUCUGUAAUGUUAUCUGAGCUGGGGUGGAUUUUUUUGUUUUAGUUGUGGUGUUUGGAUGAAUGGGUUUUUUUGCUGGAUGCCUAAAAUUUUCAUCUGGGCUUUAAAUGUUUGUUCUCUCUUCUUGUUUACGAUGAACUAGGGCUUGCAUUUCAAAUUUUGUUAAGGCUUCUCGGGAGGCAGUUAGGGUUUUGAGAUUUUAUUGCUGUUGUGGAUUAGGGUUUUGGGAAUUUAUUAAUAUGGAUGGUGUUGGAGAAUCAUCUGAAUCUGGAUCUACUGUAUCUACUCCCAAGUUGAUAAAAAGUGGGAGUGUGCGCGAUGAUGAUGCUUGUCCUAGGCAAGUGUCACCAAUUAGGAUUGGUGC